rfam:Schistosoma haematobium scaffold492_5, whole genome shotgun sequence.
GCUCAACUGACGAAUCUUAAAUAGAACGAAACGUACGUCCUGGAU